GAUGAACGCUGGCGGCGUGCUUAACACAUGCAAGUCGAACGGAAAGGCUCCUGCUUGCAGGGGUACUCGAGUGGCGCACGGGUGAGUAACACGUGGGUGAUCUGCCCUGCACUUCGGGAUAAGACUGGGAAACUGGGUCUAAUACCGGAUAGGACAACAUUUUGGAUGGUGUGGUGGAAAGUUUUGCGGUGUGGGUUGAGCUCGCGGCCUAUCAGCUUGUUGGUGGGGUAAUGGCCUACCAAGGCGUCGACGGGUAGCCGGCCUGAGAGGGUGUACGGCGACAAUAGGACUGCGAGACGGAGCAGUCUGCUACGGGAGGCAGUGGGGGGGAGUAUUGCACAGUGGGCCCGAGCCAGAGGCAGCGACGCCGGGUGGGUGAAGACGGCUUUUGGGUGAUAAACAACUGUCGCAGGAGCUGAAGAGCUAGUGACGGUACCUGGAGAAGAAGCACUGGCUAACUACGUG
rnacentral:rRNA from 1 species